CUAGCUUGCUAGAUUGAUGGCGAGUGGCGAACGGGUGAGUAAUACAUCGGAACGUGCCCUGUAGUGGGGGAUAACUAGUCGAAAGAUUAGCUAAUACCGCAUACGACCUGAGGGUGAAAGUGGGGGACCGCAAGGCCUCAUGCUAUAGGAGCGGCCGAUGUCUGAUUAGCUAGUUGGUGAGGUAAAGGCUCACCAAGGCGACGAUCAGUAGCUGGUCUGAGAGGACGAUCAGCCACACUGGGACUGAGACACGGCCCAGACUCCUACGGGAGGCAGCAGUGGGGAAUUUUGGACAAUGGGCGAAAGCCUGAUCCAGCAAUGCCGCGUGUGUGAAGAAGGCCUUCGGGUUGUAAAGCACUUUUGUCCGGAAAGAAAUGGCUCUGGUUAAUACCUGGGGUCGAUGACGGUACCGGAAGAAUAAGGACCGGCUAACUACGUGCCAGCAGCCGCGGUAAUACGUAGGGUCCAAGCGUUAAUCGGAAUUACUGGGCGUAAAGCGUGCGCAGGCGGUUGUGCAAGACCGAUGUGAAAUCCCCGAGCUUNACUUGGGAAUUGCANUGGUGACUGCACGGCUAGAGUGUGUCAGAGGGGGGUAGAAUUCCACGUGUAGCAGUGAAAUGCGUAGAGAUGUGGAGGAAUACCGAUGGCGAAGGCAGCCCCCUGGGAUAACACUGACGCUCAUGCACGAAAGCGUGGGGAGCAAACAGGAUUAGAUACCNUGGUAGUCCACGCCCUAAACGAUGUCAACUAGUUGUCGGGGAUUCAUUUCCUUAGUAACGUAGCUAACGCGUGAAGUUGACCGCCUGGGGAGUACGGUCGCAAGAUUAAAACUCAAAGGAAUUGACGGGGACCCGCACAAGCGGUGGAUGAUGUGGAUUAAUUCGAUGCAACGAGAAAAACCUUACCUACCCUUGACAUGCCACUAACGAAGCAGAGAUGCAUUAGGUGCUCGAAAGAGAAAGUGGACACAGGUGCUGCAUGGCUGUCGUCAGCUCGUGUCGUGAGAUGUUGGGUUAAGUCCCGCAACGAGCGCAACCCUUGUCUCUAGUUGCUACGAAAGGGCACUCUAGAGAGACUGCCGGUGACAAACCGGAGGAAGGUGGGGAUGACGUCAAGUCCUCAUGGCCCUUAUGGGUAGGGCUUCACACGUCAUACAAUGGUGCAUACAGAGGGUUGCCAAGCCGCGAGGUGGAGCUAAUCCCAGAAAAUGCAUCGUAGUCCGGAUCGUAGUCUGCAACU
rnacentral:rRNA from 1 species